rnacentral:rRNA from 1 species
CCUACGGGAGGCAGCAGUGAGGAAUAUUGGUCAAUGGACGAGAGUCUGAACCAGCCAAGUAGCGUGAAGGAUGACUGCCCUAUGGGUUGUAAACUUCUUUUAUAAAGGAAUAAAACGAGGCACGUGUGCCUUUUUGCAUGUACUUUAUGAAUAAGGAUCGGCUAACUCCGUGCCAGCAGCCGCGGUAAUACGGAGGAUCCGAGCGUUAUCCGGAUUUAUUGGGUUUAAAGGGGGCGUAGAUGGGUUGUUAAGUCAGUCGUGAAAGUUUGCGGCUCAACCGUAAAAUUGCAAUUGAUACUGGCAGUCUUGAGUACAGUUGAGGUAAGCGGAAUUCGUGGUGUAGCGGUGAAAUGCUUAGAUAUCACGAAGAACCCCGAUUGCGAAGGCAGCUUACUAAACUGUGACUGACAUUGAUGCUCGAAAGUGUGGGUAGCAAACAGGAUUAGAUACCCCUGUAGUC